UGAGUACGAGCUGCUACGGCAGCGAAGUGGGUGAUGUCAAGCUUCCAAGAAAAGCCCUAUACCCGUUAAGGCAUGACGGCCUGUACCCGAAACCGACACAGGUGGGGUGGUAGAGAAUACCGAGGGGCGCGAGAUAACUCUCUCUAAGGAACUCGGCAAAAUGGCCCCGUAACUUCGGGAGAAGGGGUGCCACCGCAAGGUGGUCGCAGUGAAGAGGCCCAGGCGACUGUUUACCAAAAACACAGGUCUCCGCUAAGUCGCAAGACGAUGUAUGGGGGCUGACGCCUGCCCAGUGCCGGAAGGUUAAGGAAGCUGGUCAGCGCAAGCGAAGCUGGCGACUGAAGCCCCGGUGAACGGCGGCCGUAACUAUAACGGUCCUAAGGUAGCGAAAUUCCUUGUCGGGUAAGUUCCGACCCGCACGAAAGGCGUAACGAUCUGGGCGCUGUCUCGGAGAGAGGCUCGGCGAAAUAGAAUUGUCUGUGAAGAUGCGGACUACGUGCACCCGGACAGAAAGACCCUAUGAAGCUUUACUGUAGCUUGGUAUUGUGCCCGGGCUCUGAAUGCGCAGGAUAGGUGGGAGGCUUUGAUCCAUUGCUUGCGGGUGAUGGUGAGCCAACGGUGAGAUACCACUCUUUCAGAGCUAGGGUUCUAACGGUCACCCGUUAUCCGGGGACCGGACAGUAUCAGGUGGGCAGUUUGACUGGGGCGGUCGCCUCCUAAACGGUAACGGAGGCGCACAAAGGUUUCCUCUGAACGUGUAGAAAUCGUAUCUAGAGUGUAAAGGCACAAGGAAGCUUGACUGUGAGACCUACAAGUCGAGCAGGGACGAAAGUCGGUCUUAGUGAUCUGACGGUGCUGAGUGGAAAGGCCGUCACUCAACGGAUAAAAGUUACUCUAAGGAUAACAGGCUGAUCUCCCCCAAGAGUUCACAUCGACGGGGAGGUUUGGCACCUCGAUGUCGGCUCAUCGCAUCCUGGGGCGGUAGUACGUCCCAAGGGUUGGGCUGUUCGCCCAUGAAAGCGGUACGCGAGCUGGGUUCAGAACGUCGUGAGACAGUUCGGUCCAUAUCCGGUGUAGGCGUUAGAAUAUUGAGAGGAGCCUUCUUUAGUACGAGAGGACCGAGAAGGACAUACCUCUGGUGUACCAGUUAUCGUGCCAACGGUAAACGCUGGGUAGCUAUGUAUGGAGUGGAUAACCGCUGAAAGCAUCUAAGUGGGAAGCCCACCUCAAGAUAAGUAUUCUC
rnacentral:rRNA from 1 species